rnacentral:rRNA from 1 species
UUCCGGGAUAGCUAGCCGAAAGGUUAGCUAAUACCAGAUACGCUCAUCGAGCGGCAUCGCUUGAUGAUGAAAGCAGCAAUGCGCGGAUUGAGGAGCCUGCGGCCCAUUAGCUAGUUGGUGAGGUAAUGGCCCACCAAGGCAACGAUGGGUAGCUGGUCUGAGAGGACGACCAGCCACACUGGGACUGAGACACGGCCCAG